AAGACUAUAGACCUGCGGAGUACCUGCGGAAGGAUCAUUAUUGAACAUGUGCCGGUACUAGGUACCUUGGCAGCAUUUUUGUCCCAACCUGUUCAGCACCGAUGGCAUUCUUGGAGCUUGACUGAAACAACAAUAAUAGGGCGCAAGCCCAUGAAUAUAAUGUAACACAACUUUUAACAACGGAUCUCU
rnacentral:misc_RNA from 1 species